rnacentral:rRNA from 1 species
GACGAACGCUGGCGGCGUGCUUAACACAUGCAAGUCGAGCGGUAAGGCCCUUUCGGGGGUACGACGAGCGGCGAACGGGUGAGUAACACGUGGGUGACCUGCCCUCAGCUCUGGGAUAAGCCUGGGAAACCGGGUCUAAUACCGGAUAUGACUCCAUGACGCAUGUUGUGGGGUGGAAAGCCUUGUGCGGCUGAGGAUGGGCCCGCGGCCUAUCAGCUUGUUGGUGGGGUGAUGGCCUACCAAGGCGACGACGGGUAGCCGGCCUGAGAGGGCGACCGGCCACACUGGGACUGAGACACGGCCCAGACUCCUACGGGAGGCAGCAGUGGGGAAGUCUUGCGCAAUGGGCGAAAGCCUGACGCAGCGACGCCGCGUGAGGGAUGACGGCCUGGU